ensembl:lncRNA
GCAUUUAGUCUGGGUAAUAAAUCAGGGCGGUUUACGAGGUUUACACGAGACAAACAAGCAAGCAGGGCACAACACAAGCCCCUGGAAGCGGCGUGCGCGGAGCUGCCAGGAGUCGGGAGCCCCACGCGCUCGCACGCCGAAAGCAGCCCCGGCGCGCCCUGACACGCCGCCAGCACCCACACUUCGGCUGGUCCCCGAGCGGGCGGAGCGGAGAGGUGCAGGGGAGCAGCCCCAGCCUGAGCCCACACCCCUCCAACCUUCCGCACGAACCCGCGGCGCCCGGCGCGCCCCAGUUCUGGGCAACUCGGCGCCCCCGCCCCGCCAGGGAGGGGCCGCUGGCAUAGGCGACAGCCUCAACCGUGGACCUGGACAGGGGGUCUCAGACCAGUACCAGCCUAGGACCUUGGGAGACUCUGAAGGGAAGAGCGGCUCCAGGUCACCCCGUCCGAGCCUUCGGCGCCGUGCCAUGCUCAAGUUCCCUAUCGAUUGGCGUUCUCAGCGCUAUCGUGGCGGCAGAGAGACGGAGGGCGGGAAAUCGGGAAGCCGGAACCUGCAGCCCACCCUGGACCUGAGAGGGGGGCAGGCGUAAGAACAAUUCCCCCAUCUCGCAAUACAGUACACGCAUGCAUCGCCCUUCCUCCUAGCACACAUUACGACUGCGAAAGCCAUUACCGCCGGCGCGCGAGAGACUUUUUAAAUAUUUACAGCCCGCUCUCCGCACGGUAGCCUGAUCCAUCUUGUGGGCGCGGAGGCGGGGCGCGGGGCUCCGCUCCGGGGGAGGUGCGGAGUCGGGGCGGGGGUUCCAGUCGCCUUCCCCCGCGGCUCCGGGGUCCGCCCGGAGCUCCCCAUCUUGUUCCCCCCGCCAGGUGCUGGGAGGCCACCACCCUCAAUUGAAUUGACAUUCCAGCUUCCCCAUCGCAAAACCCCUACGGCAAAGCCCAUGCCCUGACUUUCCAACAACUGGGAAUCGAGUGGACUUCCCACAAGGAGGAACAGUGUCAUGUGAGAGGAGCUCCUCAGCCUCAAGUUCUCCGCUGCUCCCUUCCACUGCCUGCACAAUGGACCCAGCACGCCACUCCUACUGGGCCAGGAGAGCCUCUUACUCACUGAUCUCCCCUCCACUUCUCCCCACGCUGCCUGGGCAGCCCCGGGACAGAAGUCUCUGAGCUCACCUCUCCAACCUCGAAUGAAGCUGAGCGUUUUCUCCAGGCUGUUGACUCUGCGGCACGCUGGCUGUACACACACACACCACGAGUUGUUCUCGCCCUUCCUGGGGGCCUCCCUUCUCAUCUCCCUGCUGGGCGCCCUCGAAACCUGACUACUCAGCCUGAGUGCAGAGCCCUGGCAGAGUGGGGAGCCUGGAGGACCAAGGGGAGGUGGCCAAGGGAGAGAAGGAGAGGGCCCGUAAUGGAGGAGGGGCCCCGCAUGCCUGAGAGAAAAGAAGCCAGCCUGCAGCCACAGCCUGGAGGAGAGGGGGAGUAUAAAGGGAAAGCCAACACUAAUCCCUCAGCCUACCUACGUGGGGCCUGACAGUUUACAAAAGCCUUUUCCCUGAAUAUUAUCUCAUUCACUCCGGGCUAUAAGGAAGGUAGGGCAGAUAGCGUUACCCUCACUGACAGAGGAGAGAGAUGACGCCCAGAGAGGUUAAGAUAGGUCUGUACCAAGGUUGCAGAGCUAAGAGUGGUGGAGGAGCCCCCAGGCCUGGGGUUUCCUGCUCCCAAGUUCACGUUCCUGUUCAAUAGCUCUGUGUGUGUGAGUCUGGGUGACUAUCUGUGUGGAGGGGAAGGUGGGGGGUGGCUGGACAGGAAUGAGCAGUCCAGUGAGGGAAGUCCAGGAAGGAAGGACAUAGCCUCAUACCUCUUCCUCUACUCAGGUCUCAGCCAGCAGCCUCCUGCUCUUUCCGUAGCAGCCUGUGAGCCGGCCCCCAACUCGCCUGCCCAGGGGUGAGCUGUCUGUGGCUCCAGCAGUGGCUAUUCCAGAGGGCUUAUAUCUUUGGGAGGCCCCGCUCUGCUUGUCUGCUCGGCUCUCCUCUCUGCCUGUCAUCCCCACCCCCAGCCUCGGCUGCAGGAUGCCUUGCGUCCAACUGUGGUUUCCGGGCAAUAAAACAACUAUUAAAGUCUCAGGCACGGCUGGUGAUUUGCAUCACAUCCUCUCGUGCAUGGAUUCAAUAUUUAAUACACAAUAUUGAAUACGGAUAUUAAAAAUCAAUAGCUGAGGACCCCUGGGGAGGCGGCACAGUGCGAUCCUGCUUCAGAAACACAACCAGCUCCUCUUAAAAGAUAGGAACGGCAAGUUCAGCCAAGCUGAGCCCAGCGCCAGGGGAAGUGAGGAGUAGUGGAUGCCUCGCAGCUUCCUGAUCUACUUAACUGCAUCAUUCCUAAGUCAGGCUAAAGGGAGGCCAAAGGAACUAUGUGCCCUCAGGCUUUACUAGCUGGCAGUGGAGUGGGGUGGGGUAGAAUUUGUUUCCAAGCUAGCUACCAGGUGGAGAUGCCCCUUUUGUUGCCAUUUGCACUUUGGUUUGGUUUGGUGCAGGCAAGCACUCAACACUUCCACCAUGAUGGCUCCUUCCCACCACCGAUAGGCCCCACGGAGAGCUUCUGGCAUAAGCUUUCAGGGAGAUGGACC